GCUGAAGAUACAGCUCAGUAGGUAGAGUGUUUGCCUCAUAUGCACAAGGUUCUGGGUUCAAUCCCCAGCUUAGGCU
rnacentral:tRNA from 1 species